CAUGCCUUUUGCUCUGCACUCA
rnacentral:piRNA from 1 species